AGAACGAACGCUGGCGGCGUGGAUAAGACAUGCAAGUCGAGCGAGAUAAGUUUUGUAGCAAUACAGAACUUGUUUAGCGGCGAACGGGUGCGUAACACGUGAGAACCUGCCCAAAAGAGGGGGAUAGCCCGCCGAAAGGCGGAUUAAUACCGCAUAUUAACAAAGCAGCAAUGCGCUUUUGGAUGGGCUCGCGGCCUAUCAGCUAGAUGGUGAGGUAACGGCUCACCAUGGCGAUGACGGGUAGCUGGUCUGAGAGGACGACCAGCCACACUGGGACUGAGACACGGCCCAGACACCUACGGGUGGCAGCAGUCGAGAAUUUUUCACAAU
rnacentral:rRNA from 1 species